rnacentral:rRNA from 1 species
GAUGAACGCUGGCGGCGUGCCUAAUACAUGCAAGUCGAGCGAACAGACGAGGAGCUUGCUCCUCUGACGUUAGCGGCGGACGGGUGAGUAACACGUGGAUAACCUACCUAUAAGACUGGGAUAACUUCGGGAAACCGGAGCUAAUACCGGAUAACAUGUUGAACCGCAUGGUUCAACAGUGAAAGACGGUCUUGCUGUCGCUUAUAGAUGGAUCCGCGCCGCAUUAGCUAGUUGGUAAGGUAACGGCUUACCAAGGCAACGAUGCGUAGCCGACCUGAGAGGGUGAUCGGCCACACUGGAACUGAGACACGGUCCAGACUCCUACGGGAGGCAGCAGUAGGGAAUCUUCCGCAAUGGGCGCAAGCCUGACGGAGCAACGCCGCGUGAGUGAAGAAGGUCUUCGGAUCGUAAAACUCUGUUAUUAGGGAAGAACAAAUGUGUAAGUAACUAUGCACGUCUUGACGGUACCUAAUCAGAAAGCCACGGCUAACUACGUG